rnacentral:lncRNA from 1 species
AAGCAUCAGAGUGGGACCGAUUUACAGACACUAAUUGGCCCCAACCUGUCACCAGCUUGAGCCUCCCAAAGGUGCGAGAAGAACUUCUGGGAGGACCGGGAGCUGCAAGUGGGACAGGGGCACAGUCAGGGGAUGCUGUGCUUCAGCACAGAGGGUUCUGUGUCUCACAAGGUCUGGGAGAAGGCGAGCGAGAGGUCAGGCGGGUUGGCGAGAGACAGAAAAGACAGCAGAGCUGAUACAGACCGUUCAAUCCCGUUCAUACAAAGUUACUCGGGCGCUGUUACGGGAUGCGCAAAACGCCUUCACCGCGCGACCCAGCAGGAGAACACAGAAAGUUCAGCCAACACCAGCCGCACCGUUUCUUGCCACCCCAACCCCGCACCGCUCGGACACCCCCCGGACGGACCCCGCGGUACGAGUGUACAGGUGAAAUCAGAUGGACUCAUCUGACCAGCACAGCUUCUUUCCACGCCAGCCACCUCUCAAGCAAAAUCUUCAUGCUGGUAGCUGAGUCUCUGUGGGUUCUUGAUGGGUUAUUAUCUACUCCUCCGACGUGGUUAAAGAUCCAGCUCUAGUUUUAGAGGUAAGAAAAAGAUUUGUAUUUAUGGUUUAAAGUGAUCGAUGAGCUCCUGUGUGUUUUAUCAUGACAGACUACUU